GACGAACGCUGGCGGCGUGCUUAACACAUGCAAGUCGAGCGGUAAGGCCCUUUCGGGGGUACACGAGCGGCGAACGGGUGAGUAACACGUGGGUGACCUGCCCUCAGCUCUGGGAUAAGCCUGGGAAACCGGGUCUAAUACUGGAUAUGACUCCAUGACGCAUGUUGUGGGGUGGAAAGCCUUGUGCGGCUAAGGAUGGGCCCGCGGCCUAUCAGCUUGUUGGUGGGGUGAUGGCCUACCAAGGCGACGACGGUAGCCGGCCUGAGAGGGCGACCGGCCACACUGGGACUGAGGACACGGCCCAGACUCCCUACGGGAGGCAGCAGUGGGGAAUCUUGCGCAAUGGGCGAAAGCCUGACGCAGCGACGCCGCGUGAGGGAUGACGG
rnacentral:rRNA from 1 species